rnacentral:misc_RNA from 1 species
GAUGAAGAACGUAGCGAAAUGCGAUACGUAAUGUGAAUUGCAGAAUUCAGUGAAUCAUCGAAUCUUUGAACGCAUAUUGCGCUCUCUGGUAUUCCGGAGAGCAUGCUUGUUUGAGUAUCAGUAAACACCUCAACUCCCUUUUCUUUUUUGAAAUUGGAGCUGGACUUGAGUGAUCCCAACGCUUUCUUCCAAGAAAGUGGCGGGUUGCUUGAAAUGCAGGUGCAGCUGAACUUUUCUCUGAGCUAUAAGCAUAUCUAUUUAGUCUGCCUAAAAAACAGAUUAUUACCUUUGCUGCAGCUAUCAUAAAGGAGACUAGUUCUUGUGCUGACUGAUGCAGGAUUCACAGAGACAGCUUCGGCUGACUUUGUAAACUCGAUCUCAAAUCAAGUAAGACUACCCGCUGAACUUAAGCAUAUCAAUAAGCGGAGGA